GAUCCAAUUACUCUAAUGCAACCAUUUGCAAACUAUUUUCUUCCAGAUGUUACCACGGCUUCUCACCCAGCCUGUUUGACAUGAGUGCAGACUUAUUCAGACAUUAGGAUAUCCUGUGUGUUUCCUUUUGUUCAAACAGUUCUCCUUGUUGUGACACGGUCCUUGUGGUUGUCAUUUUCAGUGGUUGCACAUUGUUACACCGAGAGGAUGUGCUUUAAAUUAUCACCAUUUUCGUUGCUUUUGAAACUUCACUAUUUUGUUUUGCUUCUGCUCCCUUUCCAUACUUCCGAUUAUAUCUUUAAGAGAAAUUUCCAAACCUUGAAUGAUCAGAUAAGGUAACAAUACUUAUGGCUUUCGAUGUACAUGGCCACAUUUCUCCCCUGCUCCAGCCCCUUCCAAAUGCACACCAAUUUAUAAUAUAAGCCGACGGGAACCGGAGGUUAUUCCAAACCCAAGGUGGGCUCUCAGUUUUUAAUGAGUGCUGGUCUAACUACAUGAAAUCAUUUUAAAUUUCCCCAUUUAGUACAAAAGUCUUGAAACCUUCCCUAGAAAUGAUACGGAGGCUAUGGUAUUCCUCGUAAAAUUGACAAAUACUCUGAAAGUGACAUUUCAGUCAUCUUUAAAUAUAUGUAAUGGUCUUAAUUCUAGGCUUGCUAAUUGCUAAGCAUUUCAUUUAGGGAUUAGUCAUCAAGCUCGAGUUUCCUAAUUGAUACCGUCAUCUCACUUGGUGCUAAACACAUUUUGAUGCCUAAUGUGGGAUCACUGGGUUGGGUGUGUGUUUUUGUGAGCACACAUGCAUGCCUGCUUCUUGGCAAGCAGAGCAUAAAGACCGGCGACAAGACAAACAAGCAACAGUGAAUUUCCAUUUCCUCAGCUACCCUGAGGUUCGCCUGAGUUUAUCCGAAGCUUUAGUAUUCCCAUUUUGCAGACUUAGACGUCUCCUGUUUUUGAUUUCCCAGGAAUAUGUGGACUUCCAGGAGAUCCUAGGGGUGUCAACUAUGGCAUUGCUUUUUGUUUUAAUGUGCCUUAGUUGUUCUGUCUUCCUUCACACAAAUGGAAAAGUGCAAAAUGCAAAUUUUACAUGGAAUUGUUCUAAAGUUCAUGGGUGCUUGCUACUGUACACAGAACAGAACAAUCGAGACUGCAUUACAACUGUCACCACGGCGAUAAGCCUUCUGAGAAUUCUGAAAAGGUGGAAACACCCAUCUAGUCUCCCCGGGCGGGCGCAUGAGUCCAAGAGGUAUCACACAUUCAUAUAGAUAAACAUCCCAUUAACUGCCUACACUUUCUACCUUUGAACUUUUGAAAAAUUAAUUUAAAGAAGCUUGUUUCCCGCGGCACUUUAAAACGAGCACCAACUUUCGUUUCAUUACGAGAAAGAGUUUUGUGAUCGAGGGGAGAAAAAAAAAAAAACACAAAAGAAGGGGAAACCCUGGCAGCUCAGCUAACGAGUAAGUGGAUUUGUGGACACACUGCCAACUUGAUCCAAUUAAGAAACACUAGAGGUCUAAUGACAGAUUUGAGGAGGAAAGGGUCAGACAGCACACCAGGUUCUUGACCGUAGCCAGCCAAACUGCACCGUCUCCAGCCCAGGUAACAGUUCUUGGCCAGAUAAGUAAGUAUACACGAGGAAGCACGUCAAGGAGGAAAGGAUCAAGCCGCAGAAGAGGGACAGACUG